UCACUCCUGUUUCCCUUCAGAUCGCAUAAAUCCUUCGCCUUUUACUAAAGAUUUCCGUUGGGAGGAACAACAAGAGUAUAACUACAUUUUUUUAAAUUGAUUUACGUGGAACUCGAC